rnacentral:tRNA from 1 species
GCGGGUGUAGUUCAAUGGUAGAACUUUAGCCUUCCAAGCUAACCACGCGGGUUCGAUUCCCGUCACCCGCUCCA